AGAGUUUACAAGGUUACAUCAUUCCCCAACAACAAAUAGAGUUUAGUUCCCCAUAAACAUGGUGGAACCCUAUGAACUAUGGAAGAAAGAAAGAAUGAAAAGACUAAGAAUUUGGCUAAGAGUGUAUUGUUAUGCUUGCUUCUGCCAGGGAUGCAAAACCUAAAGCCCCAGGGUCCUUUAAAUAGUGCCAAAAGUGUUCCAAACUGCGGCCUAGUCCAAAAGAAUCAAAUCAGAGCAGAUACAGGGCCCGAUCCGCGUCAAAUCACGCUCAAGCGUCGCAGGGAGCUCGCCCGGGCGUGAAUCAAUGCUUUUGUAAGGCUUGGGCACCAGUUUUCGGCGCCUGGACUACGAACGUCUAUCGCCUAGGCGUCGAGUCCGUCGUCCGAGUGACCAGUGGUAAUUUCCAGAUCGUUGUUUCGCGUUUCUAUCGCCUGGUCCUCGCUUGGGCUCCGGGUUUUCUCCCUUCUUGAUGCCUUUUUGACCCCUUUUGAGCUCCAUCUUCAUGGCUUUUCACUUCUUCUUCCAUUAUUGCUUCAGUCUCUGUCAAAACAAAGGGAAUUUGUUAGAAAAUAGUUAAAAUCAACCUCAACUCUCUUAUUCACACAAUUUACUGAAAACACAUGAG
rnacentral:lncRNA from 1 species